GGUGGAUAAGAACACAUAUUCAGUACCUUAAUCAAUAAAGAAUAAAAAUUCCAAAAAAAGAAAAUAUACCAAAAUGGUAAUGGUCAUUGCAUUCAGAUUAUAGAAUUAUGGAUUCUAUGUGUAGAUUUUCUUCCAGAUUUUAAAAAUUAUGAUUAAUACAGCAUAGGGAAUAUAGCCAGUAAUACUGUA